AGGUCACGUGACCACGCGGCAGAAAUUGACAGAUUUUCAGGCUGUGUGCGUGUGUGUGUGUGUGUGUGUGUGUGUGUGUGUGUGUGUGUGUGUGUGUGUGUGUGUGUGCGCGCGCGCCUGCCUGUGGGUGUGUAGAAAAGAGAAAGAGUGUGUAGGAGUGUAAGAGACAUGACUGCUGUGUGUCCUAAAGCUUGACAUUGGUGGUUUAUAGACAUGCCGGCUUAAAAAUGAAUUCCCAUGCAACGCAACCAGGACAAGAGAAAACUAUAUUUGGAUGACGGCUGUUUAAAAAAGAAAAGAGGGAUUUAAAUGAAAGAUUUUUCCAAAAUAUUAACAUGAACUUCUCAGAUGCUUUGUGCACUUCCAUAUUCUUUACAGUCUUUCCUGGAAAAGAAAAAUCAACGUUUGUGGCUAUUUUCAAGCUUUCCUAUUUGGAAAAUAUUUAUACAUAGCUCGUAACGUGUGGAAAAUAAAAUGACAGAUCCUAACUGGCAAUGAUAUCAACUAAAGAAGCAUUACUCUUCACUUAUAAUGCAGUGUUGAAUUGGAGGAAGGAGACAGCCAGCUUAUCUCUAAAGUCUGCUUUUAGAAAUGUCUUAGUCAUCAUCAUUUGGUGGGUUUACAACAUAACAUUUGGCUCAGUGGGCAUUUGGUUAUCAGGGUCAUGUUCAAAGUAGCGGCUAAUGUUUCAACUGGUUACAGCCUUGCGUUACUAUCAGCAUAUGACCGAACUGAAAUUUGGGAAAAAUAAAUAUAGACACAAUCUUAAAAUACAUAGUUUGUAGUGACCAGAAUUCAAAUUACAGACAAAUACGCACAGUGAAAUUUUGGUCAUCUGUAAAACCUUGCACAAUUAAACAUAUCCUAAAUUGUAAUCUAAACAAUAACUGGGCCAGUUAAAUAGUUGUAAAAUGUUCUUGUUAAUCACAGUAACAGAAGAAACUGAGCUAUAUCUCUAAAGAAAGACCACGGGUAUGUUGCGGAAAGUACGCAUGAAUGGAAGGCUAAACUCUGUCGCCAUGAGUCGCUUCACAGUAUGUUUCAGCAGUCAAAAAUUGGUGAAGUUCCUUCUGAAAAUAUAUAUUUUUUUAAAUUUUAAAGUAUGCUCGUCCCGCCGCAAUGUUUUGCUUUGGAUUAACAUUUUAUGAAUUCACUGGGAGCUUCAAAAACCGCAACAUUAACUUUUACGCACGGCUAUUUCACAGCGUUGAGGUGCAAAUAUAUAUUCAAAUGUGCGCUUUUCAGCAAGAAAACAGCUUCCACAAACUUGCAAGAUACUUUUGUUUUUUGAUUAAAUUAAAUUUUCACAUAUUUUUAAAAUUUACUCCCACGACGAAUAUACAUUUGCGUAAAUCCCAUCAACGCCACAAAGUCAAAGAGGAAAAUAUAAUUUCUACAAGAAAUGUAUAUUUUAAAUAUUCGCUGCCGUAUUUUACAGUUUUACAGCUUGAGAUAUUUUAGCUACAUUUGCUGUAGCAAAUUAUAUUUAAAUCCUAAAUGGGAUUAUGUAAACAUCUCGAAGCUAUAAAUUGUUCCAACGGAAAGCGCAGAUAUUUGUGGAGCAAAGCUAAAGCAAAUCAAAGAUAACAAAUGUGGAGACUCUUCAGAAAUGCGUUUCUGCUAUUUGAUUUGGUAAACAUGUCACAGUGCACAUUCCCCGACUCGCUGCUCUCAGGCCACCGACGAGCUGGUUUUGGAGAAACUGCAACCUGACUCUAAUGUGCUGUGAAUGAGAGACCUGAGCUCGGAUUAAGACCGCCAGGGCUGGUCUGGCCCCACAGCCCGAAGUGCAUAUAGGGAUUCAAGGGGCUCCUGAUGCCACAUGUGAAACACAACCUUGAAAUAUAACACAUACUAAUACUGUGCAAGUCCCAUCUAACGCCCUGCGAGUGCAUCAAAACAGGAAAAACCUAGCAGUCAGAGUGAUAUGGACCGUCCCGCUUACCGGCCAUUUAAUUUGGAUAAAUUGUAGGGACACAAACAACUCUAGUAUCUCUGUGACCACACGCUCCGCCUCUCAGUCAAUCCAGACAAAUUCUACGAGUUGUGCUGAAGCUUUUAAGCUGUAAUUGAGGACAGGAUGCCCAGGAAAACCAAAGCCAGCUCUGCACAGACCUGCGUUUUUAUAGCUGCUAUAGUAUUCUACUGCGUUUUUUCCCCCAAGCCAGACAGACACCACAAAACUGGUCAAGCGUGAUAGGAAGUCGCCACCUACACGGACUCAAAGCCAGCAGCUGAGGAAUUUCAACGAUAUAGAAACACAUGUCAGUGCACAACUAAGGUGACAGAAAUGUGGGCCGACAGCGAUGGCGACGACAGAGGGGCCUGGCGGACCACACAGGGGCCAUGCAGGGAAACUGACCAACUCCACGGUCAACGGGAGCACAUCUGGCAAACCAGAGGAAGAAUCACAAAGCUGGAUUAGCCUGCAGAGGGUAUCCUGGGAAACGAGGCGUCAGGAGGAGCGGGCCUGGACAAAAGGAACACAAACUGGACUUCAGAAGGGCAAUACAUGAACAUUAACAAAGUAAAAAUAGCAAAAAGGGCAAAGAAUUACACGAAGAAUUAAGUGGAAAAUUAAGUGUGGCGAUAGAUGUUGUGCGUAAUUUGAAAAAGGAACCAAAAAGGCACAAAAUGGGCUGUGGCGUCAGAAAAUUUUCGUGACUAAUUUGCACAUUUCCUACUGAUAGCUUGAGGAAUUGUUGAUCAAAGUCACACUCAGAGCAUUAGACAGAGUUUCCACGAAAAUCUCAGUUUUCAAGUUGAGUGCAAGAGUAAAAAAAAUUAUCUUUUUCCGCUUUUAAGAAGCUAAAGAGCCAAACGGGCUGGUUUAUUGGGCAUUUCUUCCUUGAAUACAUUGUUUAAUUUAAAAAAAAUAUCUAGAUGUUUCUCCUCCACAAUGCUUUAAAUGCAAUCUAACGUAACAUAAUUAAACGGAAUAUUUAACUAUUGCUGGAUGCUCACGUUUGGACAAUGUUUCAGUGGACGUCCGCAGUGUGAUUUUUAGUCCCCCGAAACAGGAUUUUCGUGAUUUGUUUUUCCAAAUGAAAAACAAAAAUCUUGGCUAUCAACACAUGUAAUAAUCUACAGUGCAAUUAGAUCGAAUGUAUUUGGACUCAUGCUAAAUAGAUUUAUUCGAUUCAGCGACAAAAUACAACCGAAAUUCGACCUUAAAUUCAGAUUUCCACUACUGCCGUUUAUAAAUCCACCUUAUACGCAUCAUAUAUUGUUUCAUAUUAAUUUUGUUUUUGUUUAAGCAUCAAUGCUCAAGUAAAGAUGAGCAAAUCUCAUGACUUAGUAGAUAAUGAUUGUUCUGAUUGGCUCUUCUGCCGCUAAAAUAUAACAAAAUACCCGUUUCUGCAACCUUAAAAAAAAUCCAGUGAAUUUAGGUUUGCUAUCUUUUUUUUUCUAAUUUGAAGAAAAUGUGAAAGUACUUACAUGUUGUUCGAUUCAUUUAUUGUAGUUGGUUGCAACACUUGAUUAAAGCAUUUUCCAAAACACACACAGGCCCAUUUCCAUAAAGGCGAUGUCGCUUUUUGUAAACACUUUUCGUUAGAGAUCAAAUUUUAAAGAUCUGGCCCACAGGUCAAGGAAAACCUAUUUAACAAAAGCUUUUGUUUAUUCGUAAAUAUUUUGUGUUUGAACUAUGUUCACAUGGAAGCAGCAAGCACAUACGAUCACUGUAAUCCCUACAUGCUGGCUGCUCUCCUCUCCUUUAAAACAUGCAGUCCACGGAAUGGACACAGUAAAUUUUUUGGCAUUUAUAUUUCAGGCCAAAUGAGAUGCUCUGAUACCAGGAGAGGAAAAACCUCGUCUCUAGACGAAUAAGGCGCCGACUGGGACAUGGAGGAGGCUUUCACAUAAUCUCGGUCAAGUGCCUCUAUUUGACAGCUGUCACGGUGUCGGAUAAAGCUUAUGUCUGCUGAGGUCUUUGUGCUGUAUUACGAAGAUUAUCUUCCAAACUCGUGCUUUCAAGCUUGACCAGAGCUGCACCGUGGAGCGGCUGAAGGUGGCAGGGCCUCGCUUCCAUUACGCACAGAGACAGCGAAGGUCAAUGUAAAGAGCAAUGGCCAUUGGUGGCCCUGUCUGCUCAACACGUCUGUCAGGUAGGCGAGAGACAAACUGCUCACUGGAAACGCGGAUUUAAAUUCAAUGCACUGAUUCCUUGAGGCGAUAUUACACACUUUACUUCGUGGAUUAAAUCUAUAAUUGUUAUUUAAUAGCAUAUCUUUAUUAAAUUUGAAAUUGAGAAACAAAAAUGAUGGCCUAUUCUGUUUUUUUCUUCAGUGCCAUAAUUUCCUCUCUUGAGAAUUGGACUGCUAAACUGCACAGAUUUUAAAAUAUCUGUCCUUGUUUAAAAGCGAAUCCAAACAGACUAUUAUUUUUAUUUUACUUCGCUUUGUGCGCUCAUUCAGGAUUGAAAGUUAUUGAUGCAUCAAAUCCAGGUGCAGCUCUUUUGCAGUAACAAUAGAUGCAUUUCGAAAUAUAACAUAUUUAAAAAAAAAAAAAAAAAAAAAAAACUCCUAUAAAA